AAUAGAUUGGUUACAGAGCUGCUCCCCUUGAACAUUUGUACAUUUCUUUAGUUUUCUCAACAAAGUGUACCCUAUUCUCCUAGUUUCUUGUCAUUUCUCCUAUUCUUCCUACGAUGUCCCGGAGCCUACUGCUGAUCACGCUGUGCCUCAUUUUAUUAAUGCUGGUUAAUCCAGGACUAUCAAAGAAAAACAAAAAAAGGAGAAACAAAAACAGAUAUGAUAAUCUGACAACCUGCUCAGGACAUCAACUACGGGGCAUGACCUGCGAGUGUUUAGCUUCCAACUAUAAUAUGAGGGGGUGUCCUGAUGAUUUAAAAAAAGGUUCCAAACAGUGCAUCCACUAUGAAACCUACUGCAAAAGCUCUAAACUAUCAGCAGCAAAACAGGGUAAAAUGUGUUGUCAAGCUAUCCUUUGCAAUAUCAACCUUAAAAACUGUUGAUUUGACGAGUUGGGAAUAUAAACGGUAGUGGAAGUACUGUGGAAGUACUACCAAUACCAUAACUUCAUAAUGUAGCAAUGUUGAGUUAAUUACUGAUUACGUAAUUUAUAGACAAUAAUUUUGAGCCGCUUUGGAAUUUCUUGGAAGAAAAAUUACAUAAUCGAGAUCCUGAUCAAUGAUGAUUUAUUCACAAUAACAUUUUGAAGAUUUCAUAAACGUGCGAUUUUAUAAAAGUGUUCAAUUAACAAAUAUAUACUUUGUAAAUGUAAUAUUA